rnacentral:rRNA from 1 species
AUUGAACGCUGGCGGAAUGCUUUACACAUGCAAGUCGAACGGCAGCACGGACUUCGGUCUGGUGGCGAGUGGCGAACGGGUGAGUAAUAUAUCGGAACGUAUCCAAUAAUGGGGGAUAACUAAUCGAAAGGUUGGCUAAUACCGCAUACGUCCUACGGGAGAAAGCUAGGGACCUUCGGGCCUGGCGUUAAUGGAGCGGCCGAUAUCGGAUUAGCUAGUUGGUGAGGUAAAGGCUCACCAAGGCGACGAUCCGUAGCUGGUCUGAGAGGACGACCAGCAAGACUGGAACUGAGACACGGUCCAGACUCCUACGGGAGGCAGCAGUGGGGAAUUUUGGACAAUGGGCGAAAGCCUGAUCCAGCCAUUCCGCGUGAGUGAAGAAGGCCUUCGGGUUGUAAAGCUCUUUCGCAAGAGAAGAAAACUUACCCUCUAACAUAGGGUGAGGUUGACGGUAUCUUGAUAAGAAGCACCGGCUAACUACGUGCCAGCAGCCGCAGUAA